CCUACGGGGGGCAGCAGUGGGGAAUAUUGCACAAUGGGCGGAAGCCUGAUGCAGCGACGCCGCGUGAGGGAUGACGGCCUUCGGGUUGUAAACCUCUUUCAGCAGGGAAGAAGCCACAAGUGACGGUACCUGCAGAAGAAGCGCCGGCUAACUACGUGCCAGCAGCCGCGGUAAUACGUAGGGCGCAAGCGUUGUCCGGAAUUAUUGGGCGUAAAGAGCUCGUAGGCGGUUUGUCGCGUCUGCUGUGAAAGCCCGGGGCUCAACCCCGGGUCUGCAGUGGGUACGGGCAGACUAGAGUGCAGUAGGGGAGACUGGAAUUCCUGGUGUAGCGGUGAAAUGCGCAGAUAUCAGGAGGAACACCGAUGGCGAAGGCAGGUCUCUGGGCUGUUACUGACGCUGAGGAGCGAAAGCAUGGGGAGCGAACAGGAUUAGAUACCC
rnacentral:rRNA from 1 species